rnacentral:rRNA from 1 species
AGCGUAGACGGCAAGGCAAGUCUGAUGUGAAAACCCAGGGCUUAACCCUGGGACUGCAUUGGAAACUGUCCGGCUCGAGUGCCGGAGAGGUAAGCGGAAUUCCUAGUGUAGCGGUGAAAUGCGUAGAUAUUAGGAAGAACACCAGUGGCGAAGGCGGCUUACUGGACGGUAACUGACGUUGAGGCUCGAAAGCAUGGGGAUCAAACA